CUUAUGGAGAGUUCAAUCCUGGCUCAGGAUGAACGCUGGAGGAAUGCUUAACACAUGAAAGUUGGAUGGGAAACAUGGUAAACGGUGUUUCCAGUGGUGGACGGGUGAGUAAAGCAUUAGAACCUGGCGUUGGGAUGGGAACAAUAGCCGAAAACGACCGCUAAUACCCCGUAGGCUGAGGAGCAAGAGGAGGAAUUCGCCUGAGAAAGGGUUCGCAUCUGAUUAGCAAUGAUGGGUCGUGAACUUAUUUUCCCAGAGAAGAAGCAAUGACAGUAUUUGGCGAAUAAGCAUCGGCUAACUCUGUGCCAGUAGCCACGAUAAUACAGUGGAUACAAGUGUUAUCCAGAAUGAUUGGUCGUAAAGCAUAUGUAGGUGGCUUUUUAAGUCCGCCGUCAAAUCCCAGGGCUCAAACCUGGACAGGCGGUGAAAACUACCAAGAUGGAGUACAAUAGGGGUAGAGGGAAUUUCCAGUGGAGCAGUGAAAUUUGUAGAGAUCGGAAAGAACACUAGGUUUUUUUCCUCAGGUUGAAUAUGGUACUUGCAACCAUUCAAGAGAGUCACUUCCAAACCGUAUUGGUCAACUCAAGUCUAUUCUUAACCGCAUACCUCCAUA
rnacentral:ncRNA from 1 species